GAUGAACGCUGGCGGCGUGCCUAAUACAUGCAAGUCGAGCGAACGGACGAGAAGCUUGCUUCUCUGAUGUUAGCGGCGGACGGGUGAGUAACACGUGGAUAACCUACCUAUAAGACUGGGAUAACUUCGGGAAACCGGAGCUAAUACCGGAUAAUAUUUUGAACCGCAUGGUUCAAAAGUGAAAGACGGUCUUGCUGUCACUUAUAGAUGGAUCCGCGCUGCAUUAGCUAGUUGGUAAGGUAACGGCUUACCAAGGCAACGAUGCAUAGCCGACCUGAGAGGGUGAUCGGCCACACUGGAAAUGAGAAACGGUCCAGACUCCUAAGGGAGGCAGCAGUAGGGAAUCUUCCGCAAAGGGCGAAAGCCUGACGGAGCAACGCCGCGUGAGUGAUGAAGGUCUUCGGAUCGUAAAACUCUGUUAUUAGGGAAGAACAUAUGUGUAAGUAACUGUGCACAUCUUGACGGUACCUAAUCAGAAAGCCACGGCUAACUACGUG
rnacentral:rRNA from 1 species